UAGUCACCUUCUCCUGUGUACAAAAAACAAUAAAGUGACCUUCAUACUCAGGGUUUCUUGUGAGCUUUAGAUCUAAUAUAAAUCAAGAAACAAACAGUCACUAGUGUGUGUGUGUGUGUAUUUGUUUGUGUGUGUGUGUGUGUGUGUGUGUGUGUGUGUGUGUGUGUGUGUGUGUGUGUGUGUGUGUGUGUGUGUGUGUGUGUGUGUGUGUGUGUGUGUGUGUGUGUGUGCGUGCUCUGGAGGCGGAGAAUGAGCUGCUGAUCUCUGACCUGUCAGUGGGAGGAGUGAACGGGUCUUUAAAGCAGGUCCUCUCCGGGCCUCCGUAGACGUGGGCCUCUGUAGCAGCUGCUGUGUAGGAAGUGAACUGGGAGCCUCUUACAUAAAAGCCAACGCUGAUCACACGCUGUGUCAAAGAUGCUGUCAGCCACGCUGGAUGCCAGCGGCUCUCCGAAGAAACGGGUGUUAUCUCGGGGACUCAGUGAGGACGAGUCUCUGCGCAGCAUCAUUUCCGAGUCUGAGAGUUCUUCUAGACGUCUAAUACGCAGCGACAGCCGAGCGAGCACCCAGAAGAAGAGGACUGACAGCCAGUCUGAGCAGGACUUCUUCAUGGGACUUCCAGAAAUGGUGGAGCUGCAGGCCAGCUACGAUGAGGUAGUGCAAGAGCUGCGUGGGCUGGAGGUGGAGCGAGAGACUCUGUUGUUCCAGGUGGACGUCCUGCAGGACACGUUGGAGGGUGUGGAGGAGCUGCUGGCUGAGGCCCAGAGGGAAGCUGGACACGCGUCUCUGGAACUGGAAAGGGAGAGGGAGGCAAAGAAAAAAUUGGAGAGCAUUGUUUCCUCUUUGAUGCAAGAAGUAGAGAGAUUAAAAGAGGAAAGAAAUACAGGACCACCUGCUCCAGCAAACGAGACGAAUGAAGCAGUGAGUCGAGGGCACCAAACAACAAACACCAUGGGAUUGAUUAGAGUUGUACACGGGGAAGAAACCAGCUCCUUGCUGUGUGAGCCUCGCAACAGUGGGGGUCUGGCAGCUGCAGAGAAGGGGGGGCAGGGUGAAGGGUCAAAGGAUAUGGGAAGUGCCCCAACUGAGCUGUGGAAGCCUCUGGGACACCUGCCCUCCCUCGCUCUGGAAACGGCAGCCUUUGUAGACGGGGUCUUUCAGAGACCUUACGAGGACGAACCAGAGCUCUCUGCUGACACCAACGACUCUGACAGCAUAAGUGCCUACGAGGAUGCAUCUGCUGAGACUCCAGAGCAGGACGUCGUCUUCCCUGGAGAUGAAGAUGUCGCUGAUUCAGAGAUUAAAGGAAUGAACAGAAAUGGAAACCCACAAACCAAUGGCGGUGAGAACCAGGAGCCCAAAAACCCAGAUGCCUGCAUUGUGUCUUAACUUUGUGUUUUCUAUCCACUGCUGUUCAAAAGGGUAUGUUUAUCAUCUGAUGAUAGACCAACUCAAAUAUUCUGGGUUACAUAGGAGUCUAAGCUCUGGUGUGCAGGUUUACAGCCGUCAGUUUGUUUGUGCACAUUUUUAAUAGCAAAAUCUCAACAUACCUUUUCCAGUGAAACAACUUCUUGUUUUUUUCCCAGUUUAAUUUAUUUAGUAUUAGAUGUUUGAAACCUUCCUCAGUUGUGCAACACUGCUGUAGAAGAUGUCAAAUCUUCACAACUUUGAAACUUGCGAUGAAGAUGCUGUAGUUACAUCUAAUAUCUUCAUUUAUUGAAGACAAACAUUUUUUUUUUCUUCAAUUAAAAAUGAGGAAGCCUGUUUUUUUUUGUUUUUGUUUGAUAGUUAUAUAUGUUGGUAGCUGCUGAAAUGUAAGUUAGAAUUGAUUUGCAUCCCGGACAGAGAGCUCUUUAUGGGACUUGAGUGCAAACAAAUUUGACUUCUGGUUCAUUGGUUAAUUUUUUUCUGAGCAAAUGUCAAAAUCAUUCCAUAGGGCGUCUGUCUCUCCUGUCACUGCAGAGAAAACGUUCAAUCUUUGUGUGAACCUAAAGGGAGGCAUGUUUGCAUUUGAAAAGAGGGAUUUUAUCGAUUUUGAUCUAAAUAACAGACGACUGCAGUCUGUCUCACUAGUUCAGUUUUUUUUUUUUUUUUUAAAUCUCGUCAGUUUAAAAAAAAAAAGAAAUUGAAACGUGUGCUGUUACAUUUGCACUUUUUAAAAUUCGAUCUCAUAAUUGCCUGGAUUCCCUUUACAACCAGAGUGUGUUACCUGGGCUGCCUCAGCCCGCUCGCUGAUAACUGUAUGUUUGCACAUUUGCAGAGUAACUUAAGGAAGUGUCUUUGUUUCUGUAAGCAAUUUAUAUCCAAACACUUUUUAUUGUGUAUUUUAUUGUAGGCGAUGGUGGACUUUUUUCACCUGAUUUGAUAUUACUUGCAUGAGCACCUAAGA
rnacentral:lncRNA from 1 species